CACCGAGUCCGAAGGUUCCGGGGCCCACCGGGACCUGGUGCAAAAGGGA
rnacentral:sRNA from 1 species